rnacentral:rRNA from 1 species
UGGGUGAUCUGCCCUGCACUUUGGGAUAAGCCUGGGAAACUGGGUCUAAUACCGAAUACACCUUGCUGGCCGCAUCAUCUGGAGGUGGAAAGCUCCGACGGUCAAGGAUGGGCUCGCGGCCUAUCAGCUUGUUGGUGAGGUAACGGCUCACCAAGGCUUCGACGGGUAGCCGGCCUGAGAGGACGAUCAGCCACACUGGGACUGAGACACGGCCCAGACUCUACGGGAG